AGCAUAAAUUACUUGUAAUUUGAUGGCGACCGGCGAACGGGUGCGUAACGCGUAUGCAACUUACCUUUUACUAGAGAAUAGCCAAGAGAAAUUUUGAUUAAUGCUCUAUACUCUUAUUAACUCACAUGAGUUUUUAAGAAAAGCUCCGGCGGUAAAAGAUGGGCAUGCGUCCUAUUAGCUUGUAGGUGAGGUAACGGCUCACCUAAGCUCCGAUAGGUAGGGGUCCUGAGAGGGAGAUCCCCCACACUGGUACUGAGACACGGACCAGACUUCUACGGAAGGCAGCAGUAAGGAAUAUUGGACAAUGGAGGAAACUCUGAUCCAGCGAUGCCGCGUGAAGGAAGACGGCCCUAUGGGUUGUAAACUUCUUUUAUACAGGAAUAAACCUAUCCACGUGUGGAUAGCUGAAGGUACUGUAAGAAUAAGGAUCGGC
rnacentral:rRNA from 1 species